UACGAAGGGGGCUAGCGUUGCUCGGAAUCACUGGGCGUAAAGCGCACGUAGGCGGACUCUUAAGUCAGGGGUGAAAUCCUGGAGCUCAACUCCAGAACUGCCUUUGAUACUGGGAGUCUUGAGUUCGGGAGAGGUGAGUGGAACUGCGAGUGUAGAGGUGAAAUUCGUAGAUAUUCGCAAGAACACCAGUGGCGAAGGCGGCUCACUGGCCCGGUACUGACGCUGAGGUGCGAAAGCGUGGGGAGCAAACAGGAGU
rnacentral:rRNA from 1 species